AUGACUGAUGUAAGUGCUGAGUGUAUGGCUGAGUACGUUGACAUUGUCAGCAGGAUGUUUGACAGCGAGGAUGAAGGUUUUGAGUUCUGUAACAAGUAUGCUCUUGAGAAAGGCUUUAGUGUGAGGAAAGGCUACAUUGAGUGGGAUGAAGCGAACGUGAAGAUGAUUCCGAGGAAACUUGCCUGUAGUCGUCAAGGUUGUCGUGGAGAGAAGCACAAGAAGAGGAAGAAAGAGGACAGGAAGAGGAAGCCAGGAAAUAUCACUUGUGUGAGGUGUAAAGCCAAGUUUGUCACUACAACAGUAGUGAAAACAUGGUAG
rnacentral:rRNA from 1 species